rnacentral:lncRNA from 1 species
UCCGGACAACUUAUUCGGGACAGCUGACUGUAUGUAAGACAAGAUAAUCUCGAUGCGCUUACCGGAAGUCUGAUUUAGGCUUUUAGCCAUGUCUACGGUUUAGAAUGCUUUCCCACCAAAACUGUUCUCCUGCCAAUCAAAUUCAACAAAUAUUGACUGACCGGCUACUGUGUGCUGAGCGCCGUGGGGGAGACAGAGCUCUCCGGCACCCUAAUCACCGGCUCCUUCCGUCAUAAGACAAGCCCAGAAAUCUACGCCAAGUGCCAUUUUAGUUUCCAAAAAAAAAAAAAAAUGCUGAUGGAGAGGGAACACCGACCGAGUCACGGCUCCAGCAGAGCGGUGGGGGGUCACAAGACCUGGAGAAUCUCAUUUCAAAGCGCUUCUUAAGUGGAUUUUGGAUUUGAUUGCAUCCGGGCAUUCUUCACAGCUCUGAAUGGUUUUGAAAUGGAUUAGAAGCAAGUGGAAGUUGAAGGCCGAAAUGCAAAUCCCAAGCCGAAUCAGAAAUGGAUUAAAGUGAGCUUUCCCCUAUGCAAAUGACCCUGGGCGCUCUGAAGCGUGCCCAGCUCUGGAAACUGUCCGAGCCAGGCUGGACUUCUGACCUACGGUCACGCUGUGCCAGACUGAUGCCAACACCCAAGGCCAUGCUUCUUGGAGUUUCUCAACAAAUAUGUUUAAUGCCGGUGAAAGGAGGAAGGUGAGUGCAUACAUUUAACCUGCUUUGAAGAGGUUACUAAACCCCAGCUUCGUCAUCCUGCAUUAUCCUCAUAAAAUUGGCAUAUGAACACCUGCCCCACAGAGAUGCCCAACUACAGUCUUCUUAUAUUUUUAAGCUGUCUUUUAUCUUAUCUUUAUCAGAUAAAACACCUACUAUCAGGCCGCCUGGGUGGCUCAGCCGGUUAAGGGUUAAGCAUCUGACUUGAUUUAGGUUCAGGUCAUGAUGUCAUAGUCGUGGGAUUGAGCCCCAUGUCGGGCUCUGCAGUGACAGUGCAGAGCCUGCUUGGGAUUCUGUCUCUUCCUUUCUCUCUGGCCCUCCCCUGUUCGUGCUCUCUCUCUCUCUCUCUCUCUGCCUCCCCUCAAAAUAAAUAAAUAAACAUUAAGAAAAAAGAUAAACA